rnacentral:rRNA from 1 species
GAUGAACGCUGGCGGCGUGCUUAACACAUGCAAGUCGAGCGAUGAAGUUUCCUUCGGGAAACGGAUUAGCGGCGGACGGGUGAGUAACACGUGGGUAACCUGCCUCAUAGAGUGGAAUAGCCUUCCGAAAGGAAGAUUAAUACCGCAUAACGUUGAAAGAUGGCAUCAUCAUUCAACCAAAGGAGCAAUCCGCUAUGAGAUGGACCCGCGGCGCAUUAGCUAGUUGGUGGGGUAACGGCCUACCAAGGCGACGACGCGUAGCCGACCUGAGAGGGUGAUCGGCCACAUUGGGACUGAGACACGGCCCAGACUCCUACGGGAGGCAGCAGUGGGGAAUAUUGCACAAUGGGGGAAACCCUGAUGCAGCAACGCCGCGUGAGUGAUGAAGGUUUUCGGAUCGUAAAGCUCUGUCUUUGGGGAAGAUAAUGACGGUACCCAAGGAGGAAGCCACGGCUAACUACGUGCCAGCCGCCGCCGUAAAAC